GGACCAGGGAGGUGGAGGUGCUAAGCAACACCUUACCGGAAGUGUGACGUGCAGCUGCUUGACGAACGGUGGGCGGGCAGGCUGUCAGCAGGCGUCACCUGCUAAUGGAUACCACAUCUCUUGAUUUACUCGUCUCUCGCAGGUUUUACUCUUCUGUGAUGCCUUGUGGGAUCGUGAGGUCGGAUGGAGGACAUCUGCACCGGAAGUACGUAACGUGAUAAAGGGACAUCACUGAAGCCUUGGGAUUUCAGAAGAAUUCUUGCUUGUCCUAGUGCUUGGGACUACUCUCCAUCUCCACAGACGCCUACUUUCCUCAUACCCCGUGGUCGGACCGCCAAGCCUGUUGACGGAGCGGCAGCGCGGAUUCCGCUGACCAACCGACGACGGCCCGCAAACGGUUGGCGAGUGCAGUGGCGUCACGCAAGCCUCCCAUCCGUCAGCCGCCGACGUGGACCUUGUCAGAAAGUUGUUCCUGGUGGGUGACCUGCUUGUGAGGUCAGGAGAGCGGUCAUCACAAAGAAAGGUGGAAAGCCUGAUGAACGCACUGUCCCGUGGAUGACCUCUACAUCAUCAUUGACCACCGACGUCUGGCUCGAUGUCUGGACGGAAAGAUGUCGAGAUAAGCACUGUGUGAAGAGUUUCGUCUGGCGUGCACCCGAGUCUACACGAGAAGCAGUCUCACUAAAGUGUUUCGUUAUCACUGGCGCCGCUUGACUGAACAGCACCCCGAAGACACCUUGAUGUACCCCGUGCAAAUCUCCUUUGAUGAGGGUGACUGAGUUCUGCCUGGGACCUGAGCCUGGCCGCCCCUCUACCCUCAGGCGGGUGCACGGAGGAGGUCGACAUGGGUCAUAGCCUCAUUUCGCCGUGACGAUGACCUUCUAAGCCCAACUGUCAUCAUCAUUAUCAUCAGCGGCUGUCUUUGGGUUGGGAGGGGGAGUUAUUGCGAUUUUACUGAUAGGACACAGGUGAUAUUUAUAUAUAGACAGCGAGUGUAAUGAAACGGAACAGCUAUGUUUACCUCUGGUGUCAACAACGACAACAAAUUGAUGAAAAUAAUGUCCUUUAUGCGCAGUCAUCGUAGUAUAAGAAAUCAAGGACUGUUUGGUAUUACAUUGUAAUAAAAUUAUUUUUUUCCGGAAACAAUUGUACAAGAAUGAGGAUGUUUCCCAUGAUGCCAUGUUAUUGUACUUGAACUUUAAUAAACUUUUUUCACUUAAACUGAUUAUAGAUGAACAGACUGGCAAUAAUAAAUAAAUCUGAUGGUUUCUAUCAGUAUUUCUGUGCA
rnacentral:lncRNA from 1 species